AAUCCAUAGGUUAAUGAGGCGAACCGGGGGAACUGAAACAUCUAAGUACCCCGAGGAAAAGAAAUCAACCGAGAUUCCCCCAGUAGCGGCGAGCGAACGGGGAGGAGCCCAGAGCCUGAAUCAGCAUGUGUGUUAGUGGAAGCGUCUGGAAAGGCGCGCGAUACAGGGUGACAGCCCCGUACACAAAAGCGCAUGUGCUGUGAGCUCGAUGAGUAGGGCGGGACACGUGGUAUCCUGUCUGAAUAUGGGGGGACCAUCCUCCAAGGCUAAAUACUCCUGACUGACCGAUAGUGAACCAGUACCGUGAGGGAAAGGCGAAAAGAACCCCGGCGAGGGGAGUGAAAAAGAACCUGAAACCGUGUACGUACAAGCAGUGGGAGCACCCUUUGGGGUGUGACUGCGUACCUUUUGUAUAAUGGGUCAGCGACUUAUAUUCUGUAGCAAGGUUAACCGUAUAGGGGAGCCGGAGGGAAACCGAGU
rnacentral:rRNA from 2 species